rnacentral:rRNA from 1 species
UACGGAGGGUGCAAGCGUUGUCCGGAAUCACUGGGCGUAAAGGGCGCGUAGGCGGCCCGGUAAGUAGGGGGUGAAAUCCUGCGGCUUAACCGCAGGGCUGCCUUCUAAACUGUCGGGCUCGAGCACGGUAGAGGCAGAUGGAAUUCCCGGUGUAGCGGUGGAAUGCGUAGGAGAUCCGGAAGAACACCGGUGGCGAAGGCGGCCUGCUGGGCAGUUUAGCUGACACUGAGGCGCGACAGCGUGGGGAGCAAACAGG